AGCAGCCGCGGUAAUUCCAGCUCCAAUAGCGUAUAUUAAAGUUGUUGCAGUUAAAAAGCUCGUAGUUGAAUUUUAGACCUGGCCAGGCGGUCCGUCUUUGGCGAGUACUGUUUUGUGUUGGGUCUUAUCUUCUGGUUAACCGGCAUGUUCUUCGCUGAGUGUGCCGUGGGAGCCAGGACCAUUACCUUGAAAAAUUAGAGUGUUUAAAGCGGGCAUUUGCUUGAAUAGAUUAGCAUGGAAUAAUAGAAUAGGACGUCGGUUCUAUUUUGUUGGUCUAGGACCACCGUAAUGAUUAAUAGGGAUAGUUGGGGGCAGUUAGUAUUCAAUUGUCAGAGGUGAAAUUCUUGGA
rnacentral:rRNA from 1 species